UUGGCCUGGGGGGAACCCUGAUCAGCCUGCCGCGUGUGUGAAGAAGGCCUUUUGGUUGUAAAGCACUUUAAGCGAGGAGGAGGCUACUUGGAUUAAUACUCUGAGAUAGUGGACGUUACUCGCAGAAUAAGCACCGGCUAACUCUGUGCCAGCAGCCGCGGUAAUACAGAGGGUGCAAGCGUUAAUCGGAUUUACUGGGCGUAAAGCGUGCGUAGGUGGCCAAUUAAGUCAAAUGUGAAAUCCCUGAGCUUAACUUAGGAAUUGCAUUCGAUACUGGUUGGCUAGAGUAUGGGAGAGGAUGGUAGAAUUCCAGGUGUAGCGGUGAAAUGCGUAGAGAUCUGGAGGAAUACCGAUGGCGAAGGCAGCCAUCUGGCCUAAUACUGACACUGAGGUACGAAAGCAUGGGGAG
rnacentral:rRNA from 1 species